CCUAUCAUUCGACAAUCAAACUCCGUAAGGGUCGCGUCACGUACUAGGCGGCCAUUUUGUUUUGCCUUGACCUAAAAUGGCGCGCAGGAUCUUUUUGGCGUUCUUAGCUGUUUUCGGAUUUGGGCUUGUGCCUGUGAGAUGCAUCAUCUUCGUGGUCCCAGAAGACGUCCCUGCUGGAUUCGCUACCAUCUAUGGUUUCUCACCACGGCUAUUGAAAGUCAACGACCAUCGCUUCGGCUUCGGUUUCCGUCUGGGCAACCAGGCUGACUUCCAAGUGAUGUACGAACUGGGUCCACAGAUGUACACCAAGCCUCUGCAACC